UGGCGCGCGGCGCAUCCCCGUUAGCGCUCGCGGCGCGGUCUCGCGAUGCUGGGGCCGCCGCCGCCAUAUUGUCGCUCUAUUUUGAUUCGGAGCGCAGAGAGCGCGGGGGGAGGGGGCCGGGAGCGGCGCGCGACCCCAGCGGCGGCUCCGGCUGAGCGGGAGCGGCGCCGCCACAGCCACCGCACGCACACCCCCACACACCCCACCCCACCCCGCCCCGCCCGCCGCCGCGGCAGCACGGACCCCCCUGCCCUCCUUCCUCCUGCUCCUCCUUCCUCCGCCUCCUCCCCCCGCGGAGCGGAACGGCGGCGGCGGGAGGCUGCGGAGAGGGUCGGGUCGGCGGGGUCCCCCCUGCCGGGCGGAGGCGGCGGCGGCGCUGGUGGCGGUAGUGGCGGCGGCUGCCGCCGUGGUUGUGGGGGAGGCGGAGGAGGAGGAGGAGGAGGAGGAGAAGCGGCAGCAGGAUAGUACCUUGAUUUGUGCUGCACCAGAAUGAACCCUCAAUUGAGUCUCAAAUUCUUGUAAAAACGGAGAAGACCUGGGUGGUUUUUCUCAUGUUGCUUCACAGGGGAGAGAGCCUCCAAAGGGGAAGAGGUAAGGAAGGUGGUUGGGAGAGGUACUCAGUUUGGGUUGUCUCAAUUUUGUGUUUAAGAGAUACUUGAUAAAGCAUCAUCCCUAUCAUUACAUGUGAGGGCAGGCUAUCUUGCUACGCUGUGCUAUGCUACCUUUGCUUAUGCCAGCUUUUCAAGACUUUGUGAAACGCAAACCAUUAUCUUUCUCAACAUAAGGGAAGUCAAAUGAUUCUACUCUGUUCCUUUAUGUCUGUUAAUACAAUCAUAGAAUUCUUGAAAAUGGGCACUCUUCCUAUGACAGCGUCCUGGUAGAAACUUCUCUUUCCCAACAGUGACAGAACAGAAGAAGAUAGUGUGUUUCUACACCAUGGCAUUGCUUUGAAGGCCAAGGUCUUGUGUUAUUUUGUAGUGUUUUUUGGUGUUACAGGUAGCUGGUAUGUUUUUUGAGUCUUGUAGAAUUAAACCUGUCAUCUGUUGAAGAGAUUAUUCUCAGAAA
rnacentral:lncRNA from 1 species